rnacentral:rRNA from 1 species
UACGUAGGGGGGCUAGCGUUGUCCGGAAUCAUUGGGCGUAAAGAGCGUGUAGGCGGUCCGGUAAGUCCGUUGUGAAAGUCAGGGGCUCAACCCUCGGAUGCCGGUGGAUACUGUCGGACUAGAGUGCGGAAGAGGCGAGUGGAAUCCUGGUGUAGCGGUGAAAUGCGCAGAUAUCAGGAGGAACACCGAUUGCGAAGGCAGCUCGCUGGGACGUUACUGACGCUGAGACGCGAAAGCGUGGGGAGCAAACAGG